rnacentral:rRNA from 1 species
CUUGCACCUUUCAAGCGAGUGGCGAACGGGUGAGUAACACGUGGAUAACCUGCCUCAAGGCUGGGGAUAACAUUUGGAAACAGAUGCUAAUACCGAAUAAAACUUAGUAUCGCAUGAUACAAAGUUGAAAGGCGCUACGGCGUCACCUAGAGAUGGGUCCGCGGUGCAUUAGUUAGUUGGUGGGGUAAAGGCCUACCAAGACAAUGAUGCAUAGCCGAGUUGAGAGACUGAUCGGCCACAUUGGGACUGAGACACGGCCCAAACUCCUACGGGAGGCUGCAGUAGGGAAUCUUCCACAAUGGGCGAAAGCCUGAUGGAGCAACGCCGCGUGUGUGAUGAAGGCUUUAGGGUCGUAAAGCACUGUUGUAUGGGAAGAAAUGCUAGAAUAGGGAAUGAUUCUAGUUCGACGGUACCAUACCAGAAAGGGACGGCUAAAUACGUGCCAGCAGCCGCGGUAAUACGUAUGUCCCGAGCGUUAUCCGGAUUUAUUGGGCGUAAAGCGAGCGCAGACGGUUGAUUAAGUCUGAUGUGAAAGCCCGGAGCUCAACUCCGGAAUGGCAUUGGAAACUGGUUAACUUGAGUGUUGUAGAGGUAAGUGGAACUCCAUGGGUAA